CAGCCGCCACGGUAAUACGUAGGUCCCGAGCGUUGUCCGGAUUUAUUGGGCGUAAAGCGAGCGCAGGCGGUUAGAUAAGUCUGAAGUUAAAGGCUGUGGCUUAACCAUAGUACGCUUUGGAAACUGUUUAACUUGAGUGCAAGAGGGGAGAGUGGAAUUCCAUGUGUAGCGGUGAAAUGCGUAGAUAUAUGGAGGAACACCGGUGGCGAAAGCGGCUCUCUGGCUUGUAACUGACGCUGAGGCUCGAAAGCGUGGGGCGCAAACAGGAUUAGAUACCCCAGUAGUCCCUGUCUCUUAUACA
rnacentral:rRNA from 1 species